GCCUGGGUGGCGGAAUUGGUAGACGCAUUGGACUUAAAAUCCAAUGGGCCGUAAGGUCCGUGCCGGUUCGAGUCCGGCCCUGGGCA
rnacentral:tRNA from 1 species